UAGGGGAGUAGCUCAGGAGUAAGGCACCUACUUUGCAUGUAUAAGGUCCCAGGUUCAAUCGCUGGCUUCUUAA